UACGGGAGGCAGCAGUAGGGAAUCUUCGGCAAUGGGGGAACCCUGACCGAGCAACGCCGCGUGAGUGAAGAAGGUUUUCGGAUCGUAAAGCUCUGUUGUAAGAGAAGAACGUGUGUGAGAGUGGAAAGUUCACACAGUGACGGUAACUUACCAGAAAGGGACGGCUAACUACGUGCCAGCAGCCGCGGUAAUACGUAGGUCCCGAGCGUUGUCCGGAUUUAUUGGGCGUAAAGCGAGCGCAGGCGGUUUGAUAAGUCUGAAGUAAAAGGCUGUGGCUUAACCAUAGUAUGCUUUUGGAAACUGUCAAACUUGAGUGCAGAAGGGGAGAGUGGAAUUCCAUGUGUAGCGGUGAAAUGCGUAGAUAUAUGGAGGAACACCGGUGGCGAAAGCGGCUCUCUGGUCUGUAACUGACGCUGAGGCUCGAAAGCGUGGGGAGCAAACAGGGAUUAGAUACC
rnacentral:rRNA from 1 species